AUACGGAGGGGGCUAGCGUUGUUCGGAAUUACUGGGCGUAAAGGGCGCGUAGGCGGCCCACAUAGUCAGGCGUGAAAGCCCCGGGCUCAACCCGGGAACUGCGCUUAAUACUGGUAGACUUGAGUCCGGGAGAGGGUGGCGGAAUUCCCAGUGUAGAGGUGAAAUUCGUAGAUAUUGGGAAGAACACCAGUGGCGAAGGCGGCCACCUGGCCCGGUACUGACGCUGAGGUGCGAAAGCGUGGGGAGCAAACAGGAUUAGAAACCCGGGUAGUCC
rnacentral:rRNA from 1 species